rnacentral:rRNA from 1 species
UACGAAGGGGGCUAGCGUUGCUCGGAUUGACUGGGCGUAAAGGGCGCGUAGGCGGAUAGUACAGUCAGGCGUGAAAUUCCUGGGCUCAACCUGGGGGCUGCGUUUGAUACGUAUUGUCUGGAGUUCGGAAGAGGGUCGUGGAAUUCCCAGUGUAGAGGUGAAAUUCGUAGAUAUUGGGAAGAACACCGGUGGCGAAGGCGGCUCUCUGGGACGGUACUGACGCUGAGACGCGAAAGCGGUGGGGAGCGAACAGG